rnacentral:rRNA from 1 species
UACGUAGGGGGCAAGCGUUGUCCGGAAUUAUUGGGCGUAAAGAGCGCGUAGGCGGUCCGAUAAGUCGGCUGUGAAAGUCAGGGGCUCAACCCUUGAAAGCCGGCCGAUACUGUCGGACUAGAGUCCGGAAGAGGCAAGUGGAAUUCCCGGUGUAGCGGUGAAAUGCGCAGAUAUCGGGAGGAACACCAGUGGCGAAGGCGGCGCUCUGGGCCGGAACUGACGCUGAGGAGCGAAAGCGUGGGUAGCAAACAGG